CAGUCGCCGCGGUAAAACGGAGGGUGCAAGCGUUAAUCGGAAUUACUGGGCGUAAAGCGCACGCAGGCGGUCUGUCAAGUCGGAUGUGAAAUCCCCGGGCUCAACCUGGGAACUGCAUUCGAAACUGGCAGGCUAGAGUCUUGUAGAGGGGGGUAGAAUUCCAGGUGUAGCGGUGAAAUGCGUAGAGAUCUGGAGGAAUACCGGUGGCGAAGGCGGCCCCCUGGACAAAGACUGACGCUCAGGUGCGAAAGCGUUGGGAGCAAACAGGAUUAGAUACCCCAGUAGUCCCUGUCUCUUAUAC
rnacentral:rRNA from 1 species